CUACGGGAGGCAGCAGUGGGGAAUAUUGCGCAAUGGGGGAAACCCUGACGCAGCGACGCCAUGUGAGGGAUGAAGGUUUUCGGAUCGUAAACCUCUGUCAGGAGGGAAGAACCGCUCGAGGUCGAACAGGCCUUGGGUCUGACGGUACCUCCAGAGGAAGCACCGGCUAACUCCGUGCCAGCAGCCGCGGUAACACGGAGGGUGCAAGCGUUAAUCGGAAUCACUGGGCGUAAAGCGUGCGUAGGCUGCGAUGUAAGUCAGGCGUGAAAGCCCUCGGCUCAACCGAGGAACUGCGCUUGUACUGCAUUGCUUGAGUAUCGGAGAGGGUGGCGGAAUUCCAGGUGUAGGAGUGAAAUCCGUAGAUAUCUGGAGGAACACCAGUGGCGAAGGCGGCCACCUGGACGAAUACUGACGCUGAGGUACGAAAGCGUGGGGAGCAAGCAGGAUUAGAUACCCGCGUAGUC
rnacentral:rRNA from 1 species